rnacentral:rRNA from 1 species
GAUGAACGCUAGCUACAGGCUUAACACAUGCAAGUCGAGGGGUAACAAGAGGAAAGCUUGCUUUUCUUGUUGACGACCGGCGCACGGGUGAGUAACGCGUAUCCAACCUGCCUAUAACUAGGGAAUAACCUUGCGAAAGUAAGACUAAUACCCUAUGAUUUCCUUUGAUGACAUCAGAUUAGGAAUAAAGAUUUAUCGGUUAUAGAUGGGGAUGCGUCUGAUUAGCUUGUUGGCGGGGUAACGGCCCACCAAGGCAACGAUCAGUAGGGGUUUUGGGAGGAAGGUCCCCCACAUUGGAACUGAGACACGGUCCAAACGCCUACGGGAGGCAGCAGUGAGGAAUAUUGGUCAAUGGGCGGAAGCCUGAACCAGCCAAGUAGCGUGCAGGAUGACGGCCCUAUGGGUUGUAAACUGCUUUUAUACAGGAAUAAAGUUAGCCACGUGUGGUUAUUUGUAGGUACUGUAUGAAUAAGGACCGGCUAAUUCCGUGCCAGCAGCCGCCGUAA